AUCUUCCCCACCAACUCCUCAAUCAAUAAAGCUCUUCCUCUCAAUAUUGCAUUCCGAUCUCUGUAGGUAAUAUUGCGAAGUGAACAUGCCGUAGUAAAGCGGCUGCAAAGGUUCUUUUUCAUGUAAUCAUGGCCUUUCAAUUAUUCAUUUUUUUUUUUCCUGAUCAGUAACUUUUUUUGAAAACCCUAGCCGUCAAAGUAGCCUUCUAUUAAAUAGCCCAUCUCUUUUUUUUAAGCAGAAUGUUCGUAGCCCUAAACUCCCACUCCUCCAAUUCACCAUCUCUGUUUCUAAACUCUGCAAUUCUCUCUGUAGUUAUUUCACCCCGCUCUUGCUCAUUCAAUUAUGAUCUUUACUCCUAUCUUCAUUAGAAUUUCCUUCCACCUUCCUUUGUUUCUCCUCUUAUAUAAACCCCUUGAUGAUAAAACGGGUCCGUUAACUAUUGUUAUCCGAGCCGAGUUAUCUAAAAUACGAACCCUCGACUCUAGAUUCAUAACCACAAGACGAUUUGUUGUUCUCUACCUCUGAAAGUCAGGUAUUAUUUUAUUAUUUAUACUCCAGCACUCAAUCUCUUUGUUUCCGAUUUACCAUGGAAUUGUACGCCUGAUUAUCCAAUUGUACAAUUUUUCGUUUCACUGAAUUGGAGGUGAGAAAGUUAUAAAGUAAGAUGAGCAAGAAAUAAAAGAGUAAAAAAAGAAAGAUUGUGGAUGCGCAGUUGUAUGAGAAUAAUUUCAGUAGAGGAGGAAGCUAUAUGGAGAGGAGCAAGCAAGAAGCUUCACUCGAGAAAUUAAAUUCAUCUUACUGUCAGCAGAAAGAAUAAGUCUGAUAAGAAGAAAGAAGGUGAUGAUGAGAUCAACAGCAGAUUGAGUUUGGGAACACUUUCCUUCCAGCCUAACUUCCUGUUUCCGGUUUAGUUGUUGUUGCAAAAGAGUAACUAAACACGAUCAAGUUUAUUCUACAAGGAUACAUGCCAAAACCAGGUACAUUCCUUCCUUUUCAUUUAUGAAGCAAUCUUUGUGCCGGGAACGAUCUUGCCAAGCUCGAGAUUUCCAUUUUUCUUCAUCUUUGACCACUGAAGAUGCGGUUAGCUACUGUCGCUUUGAAGCUGUGGGUUAUGACUUCAACACUAUCCAGCUGAAUCAGCUGGUGAGAAGGCUUCUCUCUUGCUUUGAUUCCAACAAAUUCUCUGUAGAGUGUCGCUGUGAGCGUGUACAAGCCGGAAAUUAGUGUAUACUUGGAAGAUUAUGGGUUUAGAGAGAGGACAUUUGAGUCUCUAGGAGAAGAGGGUAGACCAGUGAUGUAUCAUACGUUUGAAAAGCUUGGCAAGUAGUGUGUGUCGCCUAGAUCCACCUUGGAGUAGGACUGGAGCAGGCUGAGCAGCAAUAACAAAGGGACACGAGGGAAUCUAGCAGAAUUUUAUCUAAACUAUUUUUGAUCUUUUUGUUUUUGCAUUUCUUAAAGUAGUGAAUAAUGAUUUCUGAAGUUAAGGUAUUCCGUUCACAAGCAUGUGUGUUGUACAAUUUCACUUUAAUACAGUAUAUGGAAUACUAUGAUGAU